rnacentral:lncRNA from 1 species
GUCCCCUGCAUAUUCUCAGACCAUAAUGCCUUGAAAUUAGAACUAAAUCACAACAAGAAGUUUGGAAGGACUUCAAACACGUGGAGGUUAAGGACCAUCCUGCUAAAAGAUGAAAGGGUCAACUAGGAAAUUAAGGAAGAAUUAAAAAGAUUCAUGGAAACUAAUGAGAAUGAAGAUACAACCGUUCAAAAUCUUUGGGAUGCAGCAAAAGCAGUCCUAAGGAGGAAAUACAUCGCAAUACAAGCAUCCAUUCAAAAACUGGAAAGAACUCAAAUACAAAAGCUAAUCUUACACCUGAAGGAGCUAGAUAAAAAAAAGCAAACAGAUCCUACACCCAGAAGAAGAAGAGAGUUAAUAAAGAUUCGAGCAGAACUCAAUGAAAUCGAGACCAAGAACAGAUGAACAAAACCAGGAGUUGGUUCUUUGAAAGAAAUAAUAAGAUAGAUAAACCAUUAGCCAGCCUUAUUAAAAAGAAGAGAGAGAAAACUCAAAUUAAUAAAAUCAUGAGUGAGGGAUCCCUGGGUGGCGCAGCGGUUUGGUGCCUGCCUUUGGCCCAGGGCGCGAUCCUGGAGACCCGGGAUCGAAUCCCACAUCAGGCUCCCGGUGCAUGGAGCCUGCUUCUCCCUCGGCCUAUGUCUCUGCCUCUCUCUCUCUCUCUCUCUAUCAUAAAUAAAUAAAAUAAAAUAAAAAAGAAAAUGAAUCUGUCCUGAAAUGACUCUGGCUUUUUUUUUUUUUUUUUUAAGAUUUUAUUUACUUAUUCACGAGAGACACAGGGACAGGCAGAGACAAGGGAAGCAGGCUCUAUGCGAGGACCCUGAUAUGGGACUCGGUCCCAGGAGUCUGGGAUCACGCCCUGAGCUGAAGCCAGACGCUCAAACGCUGAGGCACAGGGGCGUCCCAAAGCCUGGCUAUUUAGAGAAAGAACACUUAAGACUGACGGAAUGGAAAAAGAAAUUAUAGAAGGGAUUUAUGAAGGAGAUUUUUGAGAUUUGUUUUUUGUUUUCUGUUUUUUAUUUUUUUGGAUUUUAUUUAUGUAUUCAUGGGAGAGAGACAGAGAGAAGGAGAGAGAGUAACAGAGACAGAGAGAGACAGAGAGAAAGACAGAGAAAGAGAGAGACAAAGAGAGACAGAGGCACAGAGACAGAGACACAGAGAGAUAGAGAGAGACAGAGACAGAAGGGGAGAGAGACACAGAGAAAAGAGAGGCAGAGAGAUAAACAGAGGCAGAGACAGAGACAGAGAGAAGGGGAGAGAGAGACAAAGAGAGAGAGACAGAGAAAAGAGAGGCAGAGAGACACAGAGAGACAGACACAGAGAGAGGCAGAGACAGAGAAAGAGAGAGAGACAGAGAGAAGGGGAGAGAGAGACAAAGAGACAGAGAAAAGGGGCAGAGAGAUAAAGAGAGACAGAGACAGAGAGACAGACACAGAGACACAGUGA